rnacentral:rRNA from 1 species
UACGAAGGGGGCUAGCGUUGCUCGGAAUCACUGGGCGUAAAGCGCACGUAGGCGGAUUGUUAAGUCAGGGGUGAAAUCCUGGAGCUCAACUCCAGAACUGCCUUUGAUACUGAAGAUCUUGAGUUCGGGAGAGGUGAGUGGAACUGCGAGUGUAGAGGUGAAAUUCGUAGAUAUUCGGAAGAACACCAGUGGCGAAGGCGACUCACUGGACACAUAUUGACGCUGAGGUGCGAAAGCGUGGGGAGCAAACAGG